UUCCUGUUAUAUUGUUAGUUUCAUUUUGCAGUUGGAUAAAUAGGGUUAGAGAAUAGGAGGCUUUUCCAGAGUUAAGCAGCUAGAGAUAACAUCAUAAAUAUAGAAGAAAGUGGCUUCUGAAAGGUGUGUUAAAUGUGUAAAAGCUUACUUCCCUUCUCCCAUAAAAGAAGUUGGCGUAAAGGCAGUCUAGGCUUGGCAUGGUGUUUCCGAGACCAUGCUUCAAUCUUUCUCCUCCAGAAUCAUCAGACCAGUUUCUAACCUCAAGUUUACUGCAUGGUCCUACGAUGUCUGCUGGAAAGCCUGUCAUCACAUUCACAUUCCAGGCAGACAGCAGGCGCAAGUGGAUGAGGACAAAGAUCAUUUAUUCCCUCCCCUUUAAGACCCUCCUGAAAGUCAGUCACACAUGACUUUUCCCACUUCAUUGGCCAAAACUUUAUCUCUUGACCACUCCUGGCUAUAAAGCAGCUGGCAAUGCCAUCAUUUCAGGGGUUUAUAUGUGCUGUUCUAAAUACUGGGGUCUGUUCUUACGAGCAGAAAAGAAUGAGAGAAUGGAUAUUGGGAAGCAAGAGCAGCCUCUGCUCCAGCUAGAGAGGGGCAGAAAGACCCUGGUGUAUCCUCAGACUGCUGUACCCUAUGCCUGCUCACAGGACAGACAAGAGCCUUUUAAGGGUGAAGACAGGACUAGACCCCAGCCUCCUGGUCACAUGACUCAGAGAUCUCCCAUAUCCUUUUACCUUCUGUUGCAUGGAGUGGAAUGGGUCGGAGUUUGAGAUGUGGAUCUUUGUGUUAGUCUGAGACUUUUUCUGUGUGGGAGAGAUUGUAUCCUACACACAGUCUAGAAGACAUUGGGGAGGCCCUGAAGCAAUUACUAUUGCUAGAAAUAAAGUGUAGAGACAGAAGUGGGGAUGGGAUGGUACUAGAGAGUUAGGCACAAGUCGAGUGAUGAGAGGUUGAGUCUGGUCUGCACAGGAUCCUAAUAGAUCUUAACAGGCUGCAGCAAUGGUCUAAGCAUAAUGAGGCAAAACUGAAACUGAACAGGAACAGAACAUGUUACACCCGAGUCCAAAAGAAAACUAACAAGAUGCACUGAUGUGACUUAGUAUCUUCAGGAUAAAAAUGACAGAAGCACUUCAGUAAUAUCAGCCAUAAUGUGUAAGGGAGUUAUUUUGAUCUCAGCCUGCAGGAGCAGAGAAUUUCAACGAGGUGAGAGGCAUGCUUUGCCAUGCACAGGCUAGACCACACUUGUCAUGCUGCAUGUAGUUCUGAAAAGGACAGACCAAAGUUUUAAAAGGAGAGAAGCCAGGAUGGGAUUGAAGAAUCCUCAGGUUGUAUAUUUAACAUUUUUAUCAGUCACUUAGGUCACGCCUGCUUACCAAAUUUGUGGAUUACUCUAAUCUGACAGAGGUGGUAGAUACAGUGACAGGCAGAAUCAGUCAAAUAGAACAAUGAGCCAAUGCCAGGCUAUGAAAUUGAAAACAGAUCAAGGUAUCUCACCCCCAAAAAUGAUAAGUAUGUGAAGUAAUGCAUAUGUUAAUUAGCACUAUUUAGCCAUUUCAGAAAGCCUGCUUAUUUCAAACAACAUGCUGUACACAAUAAAUAUAUAUAAGAUCUGUGUCAACUAAAGAAUUAAAAUUAAAAUUAAAAGUCAAAGAAAAAAAAAGAAAAAAGUUUGGAAGAGCAAUCCAUUGUUCAAGAAAGGGAUGAGAGAGACCUGGUACAAUGGCUGUUCUAACAAAUCAGCACUUUAGUGGGCAGCAGGGCUCAUCAAAGUACCAGUGUGUCUGUGUGUGUCCCAGGCUGGUGGAUGGUGGGCUUCCAAGGAGCCUCCAGGCAGCACUGAUAUUCAUGACUUCACCCAAGCCAGGAUUUUGACCUUGGCUUUGUGGGUUUAGAUUUUCAAAGUGUUUGAGUUUCCUGGACUUGGGGAGGCUGACUCUCACUAACAAUGCUUUUAGGAGACUGCAGAUGCCGAAAGUAUUGAUUUUCAGCAUGAAUUCUACUUGUUAGGUACCUUAAACCUGAUCAGCAUACAUAUGGUUCUUCUUCCAUGUAAGAAAACCACAUGAGGAACCAAAUAAUACCUCUAAGGAGUUUUGAGGAGGAUGGAACUGAAAAGAGGGAUGUGAGUAGUGUGACUCGAAUGCUGUUAGAAGAGUCUGAUGUGUCCUUCUUCCUCAGGUGAAAGUUCUCAGACUGAAAACAUCUAGAUAACCUCUAGCUAUGCUAAGCCACAGGCACUUUUAUAGGCCUAGAACCUAUUUCGUGUCUUUAAGGUGACUUGACAGAGUGUGGUUUUGUCCUCUUAUUUUUUGACAUAUUCUGCAACUCAGGAAACAGUCUUGUUUCCCUUUCUCUAUAGCACUCGAGGUGCAUCAGUCUGCUCCUCCCUUUGCCUCAAGGUCCCACAGUGGCAAGGGGAGAGGAGACCAGUCUGGGGGGUCUGCUUAUUAAGCCUUCAUUGCUGUCUACCCCAAGAAAACUCAGAGUCACUGUCUCCUAGGCACUUCUCAGGUAGAAAGAAAUCUUUCCUUACCCUCCAAAUCUGCUAUCCUUCAGGGAUGGAUUCUCGGGUACCUUCGACCAGCUCCCUGCUCUGUUCCAGCUUCCUGGGCAUAAAGGCAAAUAAUCCCAACGUGUUUGGCUUUGACUUUUUCUCAUGGCCUCCUUUCCCAGUGGGUGGCCAUAUAUAUUCAUUCACAUGUCCAAGGGGAUUCCUCCUUCCAUCCCCCGUUUAUUGAUGUUCUUGUCACAUCUCCCUUAGGAGCUUGUUGUGUCAGUCAAGGUCCCAGCAAGAAACAGAUGGCACACUUACACUUGGAUAAUGUGAAAUGAAUUUAAUAAAGGACUACUUACAAAGCUGGGAGCAGGGCUUAGGGAAACCACGAAGAAUAGUCAAAUGCCAGAGGACUAUGAAAUCUAGGUGCUAUUGUAGGCCUGAAAGAGUGGAGAGAGGGGAAAGAGAGCCAGAAGACUGCGGGGGCUAUGCGGAAGAAACAUAGGAUUCCUGGCUUUCAACAGAACUGGCCCAUGGAAACCCCACGGCAAUAGUAAUAAAUGCCACACCCUCACUCACUUCUCUCCUUCCAAUCUCCUGCUGAUGCACAACACUGGCCAUGUGCAGUUGGUAGUCAGUGGUCAAGGGAGCCCAAGAGUGUGGUUCAGGUUCAGCUUCCCCAGGGAAUAGCAGGGUGGACAAAGAUAGAGAGUGGAUUUGGAUAGGCAAAUAGAAUAAUCCAGUAAAAACACUGAAGGCUAGACUUUGUUGUUAAUACCUGUAUUUUUUGGUUUCCCAUCCCACACAUAGUAGGUUUGCAGCAGUUGACUUGGCCAUGGAUUUCUUUGGGUAAGGAGAUGAUCUUUGAUCCCUGUAUUCCAGGGCCUAUCCCAGUACCCCCAAAAGAUGCUCCAUAAAUGUUUAUGAAAUGACUAGUGAAUGAAUGAAUGAAUAAAUGAAGUGAGCUCAGUGGGAAUUUUCCCUUAAUUUUGCUCACUGUUUCACUCCUUGGAAGUAGCCACUUCUCUGCUUCACUUGUAGGCCAGAUCCAGUUAUUAAAUUUCUAAAUUAUCCUUCUGUCUAUGGGGCUGACUCUCUAAUGAGGUCUUGUAAGUCUUUGCUUCCAUCCUCGGAGUCCAGACAAGGAGCUCUUGCCUCAGGCACAGCCUCUGUUCUCUGGGAUGUCUCACCUUUUUAGCAGGGAAGCGUUCUGUGCCAGAUGCUUAACUUGUGUCCUCCUACCAGGGAGAUUCCAUGAGGAACCUUCUCUGUUCACUUUAGGCAGAUUGGAUUGGCUUCUCCUUGCUGUACUUCUAGCUAGAUUAACUGUUAAACAAAUAUCUAUUACUUAUCUGUCAUAUUCUAGGCACUGUGCUAGGACAUGAGAAUGUUCAAGUGGGUAAGAUACAGUUUGACAUAAGGGACAAAGUGCUGCAGUCCAGAAGGAGAGAAGACAAAUAAUAAAUAAUUAUUUUACAGGGUAAUACAUGCUAUGUUAUUAUGUUAUUAUUCUAUAAUAAUUAUGGGAGCACAAUGGGUGAGGAGGGCACUGUGGGAGCCUGGGUGAGGAGCGCCAACCCACCCGGAGGCGCAAGGAAAGCUUUCUGGAGGAGUUAACACCUGAUCUUGUAGGAUGGGAAAGAGCAAGAUAUUAAAGAUAAGUGAUUCCAAGUCAAGUGGUGAGCAAGAUCAAAAUGACAGACACUUGACAUAGCAUGAUGUGUGCAAGGAAACAUGAACUAAUCUGUAUUAUUAGUGAUAACAGUUGAGGAAUGGGGGGUGAGAGGCAGAUGGAGGGGCAGGCAGGGUUUAGGGUGUGGAAGGCAUGGUAAGCUGAGCUAGGGACUUUGUAGGACAUUAACUAGAGUGAGGUGAAUAAGGCCUAUUUUAGGCACAAAAUGUAAAAGGGCUUCAAGGUCUCAGUAACUAGGAUAAGUAAUAUUAAAUGCAAUAUUUUAAACAAAAUUAAUGCAAAAACCCACAGUGAAAAAAAAAUAAAAUUUUAAGAUAAAUAGUAUUGAGUGAAUUCUUAUAAUUUCAUGUUGCUUCAGUAUCCAUUUUGAAUAUAACUUUAACUUUCUCAUACCAGAAGCAGGCUUAGUCACCCUUGGUGCAGUAUCCAGUUUUACAACUCCUCCUAGUUCCUUAAGGUGGUCAGUUCAGCUCUCUGGCUUAUAUAACUCGUGAUAGUUACCUCUCCAUGAGACAGCCAGAUACAACUGACCUAAUUAGCCCCACUGACCUCCACACCCCACAUGGACUGUGCAGGUGUGCCACAGUGGCCACCUCUUAGUCACAGCGUGACCCCCAUGAAACUAAUGCCUGCUUGUACCACCAGUUAGACCUCCCCACAGGAAACCUGCUUGAGUAACUCCCAGGACCCAAUAAAGAAUUUGGCUUACAGGUCCCCUUCUCUCUCUCUUGCUCCCCACCUGCUGGCUGAAUGCACGUGUCCUCAGUGGCUUCCCCCUUUCCAGUGACCCUGGGAGGCAUACUGCCCCCUGCACUGUGGAAUCUCUCAGCCACUUGGGUCUCCUUUGCCAAGGAGUGUCCUCCCUCUGGAACUCAAUACCAGCUCUUUCUUCUUCUGGAAUCUUCUCUCAGCUCUUUUAAGGACAGUGGUUCUUUCAACUGCUCCUUAUGUGAAGAAUUUCUCCAGGAUUCAUCAUUCCAUCUGGAUCUGUAUAAAUAAAGCUGAAGUUCUGGUCAUGACCACUCCCUGGAUCACUCCUGCCCCUGUGUUCCUGGAGCCUCAGAGUUUUGCGUCACAUGAGCUCCCAAGCUCUUCCUUUCUCAUUCAUCUGCUUUGGUUCAUUCUUGUUGAGACUCACUAUAAGGAAAGCACCUCAUCCUGCUACAGCUGGGUACAGAACUCUGAUGUCUUCAUAAAAGUUGCUGCCUCUUGGGAGCUGUGAGCAUUGGGAUCAGCCAGUAUGGCACAUUUGCUGCUACCUCAGGGCGUGAGAGCAUGCUAAGCUCCACAUGAAGGCCUCACUUUCCCACACUAUCUCCACUGAGCACUGAAGUGAUGAUGUUGUGUCCCUGUGUCUCAGGGGUAAAUGGAGGCAGCCUUUUUCUUUUCAGGGCUGACACAAAAAGUCAAUGGGGCUUGGGGAUGAAUAACAACAAAGGACAGGCCCUCUUGCAUGAGGUCAGUCCCUCCUGCUCCUGCCCUCAAAUGUAUAUGCAAAACUAUUUUCCUUGUUCUGUGCAUGAGGUCACUGUCUAUGGUCCCAUUGAUAUGGUUUGGCUAUGGACUGACCUAAAUCUCAUCUUGAAUUGUAAUAAUCCCCAUAUGUCAAGGGUGGGGUCAGGUGGAGGUAAUGGAAUCACAGGGGGUGGCUUCCCCCAUACUAUUCUCAUGAUAGUGAAAAAGUCUCACGAAAUCUGAUAGUUUUAUAAAUGGGAGUUUCCCUGCACAAGCUCUCUUGCCUGCUGCCAUGUAAGACAUGAUUUUGCUCCUCAUUUGCCUUCCAUAAUGAUUGUGAGACCUCCCCAGCCAUGUGGAACUGUGAGUCAAUUAAACCUCUUUCCUUUAUAAAUUACCCAGUGUUGGGUAUAUCUUUAUUAGCAGUGUGGGAACAGGCUAAUACAGUAAUUGGUACCAGUAGAGUGGGAUUCUGCUGUAAAGAUACCCCAAAAAUGUGGAGGUGACUAUGGAACUGGGUAACAGGCAGAAGUUGGAACAGUUUGGAGGACUCAGAAGACAGGAAAAUGUGGAAAAGUUUGGAGCUUUAUAGAGACUCGGAGGGCUCAUAAGCCAGGAAAAUACGGGAAAGUUUGGAAUUUCCUAGAGACUUGUUGAAUGGUUUUGACCAAAAUGCUGAUAGUGAUAUGGAAAAUAAAGUCCAGGUUGAGGAGGUCUCAGAUGGAGAUGAAGAGCAAAGGUAACUCUUGUCAUGCUUUAGCAAAAAGACUGGCAGCAUUUUGCUUCUGCCAUAGAGAUCUGUGGAACUUGGAACUUGAGAAAGAUGAUUUAGGCAUCCGGUGGAAGAAAUUUUUAAAUAGCAAGGCAUUCAAGAUGUGACUUGGGUGCUGUUAAAAGCAUUCAGUUUUCUGUAUUCACAAAGAUAUGGUUUGGAAUCAGAACUUAUGCUUAAAAGGGAAGCAGAGCAUAAAAAUUUAGAAAAUUUGCAGGCUGAUGAUGCAAUAGAAAAGAAAAACCCAUUUUCUGAGGAGAAAUUCAAGCCUGCUGCAGAAAUUUGCGUAAAUAAUGAGGAGAAAAAUGUUAAUCACCAAGAAAAUGCAGAAAAUGUCUCCAGGGUAUCACAGAGAGAUUUGCAGCAGCCCCUCCCAUCACAGGCCUAGAGGCCUAGGAGGAAAAAAUGGUUUCGUGGGCUGGGCCCAUGGCCUCGCUGCUCUGUGCAGCCUAGGGACUUGGUGCUCUGUGUCCCAGCCACUCUAGCUGUGGCUAAAAGAGGACAAGGUACAGCUCAGGCUGUGGCUUCAGAGGGUGGAAGCCCCAAGCCUUGGCAGCUUCCAUGUGGUGUUGAGCUUGUGGGUGCACAGAAGUUAGGAAUUGAGGUUUGGAAACCUCUGCCUAGUUUCAGAAGAAGUAUGGAAGCACCUGGAUGUCCAGGCAGAAGUUUGCCGUAGGGGUAGGGUCCUCAUGGAGAACCUCUGCUAGGGCUGUGUGAAAGAGCAAUGUGGGGUGGGGUCCCCCAGACAGAGUCCCUACUUGGGCACUGCCUAGUGGAGCUGUGAGAAGAAGCCCACCAUCCCGCAGACUCCAGAGUGGUAGGUCCACCAAUAGCUUGCACCGUGCACCUGGAAAAGUGGCAGACACUCAAUGCCAGCCCAUGAAAGCAACCAGGAGGGAGGCUGUACCCUACAAAGCCACAGAAUGGAGCUGCCCAAGACCAUGGGAACACACCUCUUGCAUCUGUAUGACCUGGAUGUGAGAAAUGGAGUCAAAGAAGAUCAUUUUGGAGCUUUAAGAUUUGACUGCCCCCCUGGAUUUCAAACUUGGAUGGGGUCUGUAGCUCCUUCGUUUUGGCCAGUUUCUUCCAUUUGGAACAGCUGUAUUUGACCAAUGACAGUACCCUCAUUAUAUCUAGGAAGCAACUUACUUGGUUUUGAUUUUACAGGCUCAUAGGUGGAAGAGAGUUUCCUGGUUUCAGAUGAGACUUUGGACUGGGACUUUUGGGUUAAUGCUGUAAUGAGUUAAGACUUUGGGGGACAGUUGGGAAGGCAAGAUUGUUUUUUGAAAUGUGAAAGUGACAUGAGAUUUGGGAGGGUCUGGGGGCAGAAUGAUGUGGUUUGGGUGUUUCCCGACCCAAAUUUCAUCUUGAAUUGUAAUAAUCCACACAUGUCAAGAACAGGGCCAGGUGAAGAUACUUGAAUCAUGGGGGUGAUUUCCUCCAAACUGUUCUCAUGGUAGUGAAUAAAUCUCAAGAGAUCUGAUGGUUUUAUAAAUGGGAUUUCCUCUGCACAAACUUUCUUUCCUGUCACCAUGUAAGACGUGACUUUGCUCAUCAUUCAUCUUCCACCAUGUUUGUAAGGCCUCCCCAACUAUAUGGAACUGUGAGUCAAUUAAACCUCUUUCCUUUAUAAAUUACCCAGUUUUGGGUAUGUGUUUAUUAGCAGCAUGAGAACAGACUAAUACACUCAACCACCUGCUCAAACAUAUCUGACCCAGUCUGAACUCAAGGUAGGACCCCCAAUACACAUGAAAAGCUUUGUAGGCCUUGUCACCUUCACAUUACCUUACCUUGACUCUGAACCAGGAAUUAAUUACCAUGAAAUAAAGGAUGAUGCAAAUGUUGAUGUUGGGUCCAAUCUGUAGUAGUGACAGGAAGUGCUCCACAAGAACACAUAAGUAGGAGUGAAAAGGGGUGCUUCCAUAAGAAGAUGGUUUCUGACAGGUACAGUGGCUCAUGCCUGUAA
rnacentral:lncRNA from 1 species